rnacentral:rRNA from 1 species
CUUUUGUAUAAUGGGUCAGCGACUGACUUUCAGUGGCCAGCCUAACCGACUAGGGGAGGCGCAGGGAAACCGAGUCCGAACAGGGCGUCUGAGUCGCUGGGAGUCGACCCGAAACUGGGCGAUCUAUCCAUGACCAGGUUGAAGGUGGGGUAACACCUACUGGAGGACCGAACCCACGUCUGUUGAAAAAGCCGGGGAUGAGUUGUGGAUCGGAGUGAAAGGCUAAUCAAGCCCAGAGAUCGCUGGUUCUCCCCGAAAGCUAUUGAGGUAGCGCCUCAUGUCUCACUCCCGGGGGUAGAGCACUGUUUCGGCUAGGGGGCCAUCCCGGCUUACCAACCCGAGGCAAACUCCGAAUACCGGGAAGUGCAAUCAUGGGAGACACACGGCGGGUGCGAACGUCCGUCGUGAAGAGGGGAAACAACCCAGACCGCCAGCUAAGGUCCCGAAAUCAUGGCUCAGUGGGAAACGAGUGGGAAGCCCAGACAGCCAGGAGGUUGGCUUAGAAGCAGCCAUCCUUUAAAGAAAGCGUAAUAGCUCACUGG